UACGAAGGGUGCAAGCGUUACUCGGAAUUACUGGGCGUAAAGCGUGCGUAGGUGGUUUGUUAAGUCUGUUGUGAAAGCCCCGGGCUCAACCUGGGAAUGGCAAUGGAUACUGGCAAGCUAGAGUGCGGUAGAGGGUAGUGGAAUUCCCGGUGUAGCGGUGAAAUGCGUAGAUAUCUGGAGGAACACCGAUGGCGAAGGCAGCCUCCUGGGCCAGCACUGACGCUCAUGCACGAAAGCGUGGGAGCAAACAGG
rnacentral:rRNA from 1 species